GACUUAUUACGAAAGGUGGAGGGAGUAGGCCCGAAGAAACCUUGGCAACCGUUCCGUUACAGUACCGGAAAAAUGGUGCUAAUUCCUAUCCCGCUAAGUAUAGGGAAAAGAUAAGUU
rnacentral:ncRNA from 2 species